rnacentral:rRNA from 1 species
CAGUAGCCACGGUAAUACAGAGGGUGCGAGCGUUAAUCGGAUUUACUGGGCGUAAAGCGUGCGUAGGCGGCUAAUUGAGUCGGAUGUGAAAUCCCCGAGCUUAACUUGGGAAUUGCAUUCGAUACUGGUUAGCUAGAGUGUGGGAGAGGAUGGUAGAAUUCCAGGUGUAGCGGUGAAAUGCGUAGAGAUCUGGAGGAAUACCGAUGGCGAAGGCAGCCAUCUGGCCUAAUACUGACGCUGAGGUACGAAAGCAUGGGGAGCAAACAGGAUUAGAUACCCGCGUAGUCCCUGUCUCUUAUAA